AAUCAUUGUUGGCAUCUCUGGUACUUCACAGAGAUUAUAGAGAGACGAGUUUAGAGGUAGGUUGUGUUAUCUAUCUUCUAACUUUGUAAAUAUGUUCUUUGAUAGCUUUCAAAGAACGUUCUUUUUCUGCUAAGUGGCUAAUUAGACUGGUCAUAUGGUGGAGAAACUCUUUUUCAGGUUUAAAUAGAUGAGCAUCCUAUACUUUAUAAAUUAUAGAACAUGUUUCUUGGGGA
rnacentral:lncRNA from 1 species